UAGAGGGGACGGGCAAGUGGUUUGCUUACGUGAGAUAUAAACUUGAAAGCUCAAACUAUUUUCUGUGUCUCUCUAGCACUUGUCUUUUCUCGGCACCCGCACUUCCAUUGCUUUCAUCACGUAAAACAGUGGCAGAAA
ensembl:ncRNA F38B2.7 ncRNA